GUUCAAACGAGUCUCUUGCCUCAGCCUCCUGAGUAACUGGGACUACAGGCAUGUGCCACCACGCCUGACUAAUUUUUGUAUUUUUAGUGGAGAUGGGGUUUUGCCUUGUUGGCCAGGCUGGUCUCGAACCCCUAAACUCAGGUGAUCCACCUGCUUCGGCCUCCCAAGUGCCAGAAUUACAGGUGUGGGCCACUGUGCCAGGCCCUAGAAAAGAAAUUCAUAUCUAAGGAUCUUUUAGUACCCAAACUGAAAGUCAAUAUAUUCAGCAGCAAAUCUCAAGUACAGAUUAUACGAAGUAUAACUAAUAACAUCUUACUACACAUGUCAGUAGGCAAUAAAGUCUUCUGCAAAAGACAGUAAGGCAGAAAAUGGGAAUGUAACCCCUUUACAAACUAGGCUUCCACUAAAAAUCUUUCCAGGACUUAAUGUGGAAAUCUUUCCUAAACAGGGAAUCUUGAACACAGUGCUUUAAGAGUCCAUUUUGUGAGUCUGGCGUGGUGGCUCACGCCUGUAAUCCCAGCACUUUGGGAGGCUGGGGCGGGUGGAUCAUCUGAGGUCAGGAGUUCGAGACCAGCCUGGCCAACAUGGUGAAACCCCGUCUCCACUAAAAAUACAAAAAUUAGCCGGGCG
rnacentral:lncRNA from 10 species